UGUAUAGUACACCAUCUCUGUUUCCUUUCCUCUUGUUUUCUUUGUACAAGAUUAUCACCAUCAAACUUUAAGAUUUGAAUGUCAGACACUCAAUUGAGCAUUACCCUAAUAUUAUAUUUAGAAAUGUGAUUGGGAAUAAUUCACUUCUAAUAAAAAGGCCCUAGAUAUUUUUUUUAUAUAAAAAACCAAACAAACAUAUCACCCAACCUCUCCUCUCUCUCUCCCGUACAGAUCCGGCGACCGGACUCCGGCGACGGCUCCGGCCGGUCCCGUUUGUUUCUCCGGUAGGCAACAUCACCACAACCCUCCUCCCCUCUGCUCCUUCUCCCUCUCGACUUGUGCUCCGGCUUCGUUUACGGCUAACACCUCUCUCUCCUACUCUCACUCUACUCUUUUUCUGAACAAACGGCCGACCACCGCUCGAUGGUGGCGGCGCUCAAACACAGCGGCAACAGCUGCGACGUACGACAGAUGGGGGGUAUGGUGGGGUCGGGUGGCGUCUCAAGGCGGAGAAGGAGCGGUUGCUCCGACAAACCUCCGACAGGCCCGACGAAGCUGAUGAUGAUGAUGUGGCCACUGUUGUUGCUGACUGAUGAUGAUGGUGGAUGCCGAUGAUGGACGUCCAGCGGUGGCAUUAGCCGGCCGGAGACAUUAGGCGGCGGGGGUGCUUUAUUUUUCGACAAAGUUAUACGAUGAUGUUGUAGUGUCGGCUUAGUUUCGGGCUAUUCACAGUCAAAAUGUUCGGGUUAGGUGUGAACUCGGUUCAGACAUGGCAUGGUUCAACAGGCUUCUUCAUCUCAAGUGCAGUUCAGUUUCGUUUCAGAUUCGGGUUUUUCGGCUCGGCUACAGUUUGGGUUCGGUUAGCUCAGUGGUGGUUCGGGACGACACGGUUCAUCGGGUCAGAUUUGGACUCGGGUCAACUCAGUUCGGGUCCGGGUCAACACAGUCAAAACUCGGUCAACCUGAGUUAACUCGGUCAAACCGAGUCAACUCAGUCAACGACAGUCAACGAUGGUCAAACUCAGUCAAACGAAGAUCCGUUUGGUUCGCUACAAGCUGAUGGGAGCGAGAUUGAAGACUACUGAAAAUGUGCGAAGACUUUGGAGGGAGUGGGAGAUUCAUGGCAACGACAUUAUUGAUGAUGGUGGCUGAUUAGCUUUUGUUUAUCUUUGUGUUAGUUGGUCUAGAUAAUAGUCUAGUGGGACGUUCUUUGUAGUUUUGGUUCUAUUUUUGGUUCUUUCGUUUACUUUCAUGGGGCAUGUCCCAUGAUUGAACUAGUGUAGGCUCUCUACACUACUUGGUUUUUAUUGGUUGUGAAUAUAUAGAAUCACCGGGGUAACCCUUUACCCAAAAAAAAAAGUAUAUUUCGGGUGAUUUUUGACGUAUUUCUUUUAACUAACUUUUGAUUAGUAAACGAUGUAUCGUUUCAAGAUGUAGCUCAUGCAACAACGUUAGCUGGUUUUUAAUUUGCACUACCCAGUUUACAGUAUGCAUAUCCCAAUCAACAAGAAACUUGAGGUCGCUGUUAAAAGAACAAGUAAAUCAUUCCUUCAAAAGGUAUGCCUCUGUGCCAUUCUAAAGUGGAGAAAGUAACUACAGAAGACCUCUUUGAGCUCUCAGAGAUUGAAAAGUACAACCUGGGAAUGACUAGGCAUACGGUUUCUCUCUCUGAUGUGGAUAAUACCCCAGAAUCUUUAUCGGUGUUAAGCGAUAAUGAUGUACAUGGGUUAUAUGACUUUCUUCUUCUUCUUAAUUACAUUGAAAGUCUUUGUUUUUUAUUUGCAGGUUUCUUUUACCAUCUCUGAAUAUACUAGAUGUUCCUUUACUUUAUUCACCAGUACCAUUUGAAAAUGCUGCUGUUUUUGCAGCAGAGGUUAAAUGCAAGGAGGUGAGGAAAAUUGAUCAUGUAUUCGCUUUAAAUGCAAGCAGGUAUUAUGGUCUCUUGCCCCAUUGCUGAGGUGGGGGGUGGAUCCUCUAAUGUUCAUUAAGUAUUGAAACUCCAAUUCAAGUAAGGUUUCUAAUUUAUGCAGUACCACAUUGUUAUUUUCCAGAACUUUAAUUUGUUUCGUUUAAUUUAUGCAGUCCCGCACUAUUGUUGAUAUGAAACUGCUCAAGUAACAUAGAAUUUUUGAACUCUUUGAAUUAAUGUUCAGGUUUUUGUUCAUCCAUCUUUUUGAAUAUCUUGUUGACGUCAUCCAGGUUAACAAAUUAAAUGAUGAAAGAAUUUGGAGAAAAGGUUUUCGUGUUUGGUUGUUGAUUCGGCGUUGAGUAUGUAACUACUGUGAACCUUUCUACUCCAAACAAGUCGAAUAAAGAAAACUUAACGGGUUUAAUGGGUUUGCACAAAGUAUUAUUCUAACGCGUAUAAGUAUAUAACUUCUGUUUAAUUAAAAACUUGAAUUAUUUAUCGCAUUAAUUACUGAUGCUAGAAAAUCUGGAUUUUUUUAUAAAAGUUUAUGACUCAGACACUACAUAUUGGCAGGCUCAGGAGAAUUCAAAGAAAGGAUGGGGAUAUGGCUGUGGUAAAUCAAAGUCACACACCCUGACCCACGGUACUUUUGGGCUUCUUGCACCAUCCCGGCAUACAAGCAGGUCAGCACAUUUGGAUGCAUCACCAAUGAGACAUCACUGUUCGGAAGGCCCAAGAAUGCCAGAUGGGACACAGGGUAAUACAAUGGGAAGAAGGAAACCUAUUCUAACAGGUUUACCAUAAGUCUGUGUUUAGAGACUUGAGAAAUCACCAAACGGAUUUUGUAAGCUGGUGUAAUGCCAACAGGAGAUGAGAGAACGUGUUUAUCAUGUUGUCACGGCAAAAAAGAAUGGAGUUGUUUAGAGAUUUGAGAAGAAUUUGCUUCUUGAAAAGAUAGUGGAAUCAGUUUGCUAUUGUUUUGUUGCUAGAUCAAUGUACUUUUAGAUUAUUUCUCUAAAAUUUUAAAAGCUUAUUCUUCAAGAUCGUGAUCGCGAUGAAUGUGACAAUCACCUCGCGAUCCAGUGACAAUCAGAGGGAUGAAAAUGUUUCCGGUUACCAUCUUUGAUGUAUAAAUUUUUGUUUCAAUGAAUUUAAAGUGGAUGUGUGAAUUAGAAA